AUGCACCUUCUGCCUGCGUUGGCCUUCAGGGAGCCUGGCUCACCUCUCCAUCGCGGAGAUGCUUCCCCCAAGCUGUGCCACCUGGCAGGGUUUCCAGGUCACUGCUCCAGCUGUGAACAUCCCAACAUCUGCAGCCUUCUAAGGGCCCUUUCAGCACCGGGAACCCAUGCUGGUCAGAAAACGCCUCGUGGAAAACUGAAGCUGGACCUGAAUUGUGGAGGAUGGUAGGAUUUUUUUUUUAAAGUUUUUAAUUGCAAAGUUAAUUUGCAGCAAAAUAUAUAUAGACACGUUUGAAAAGAGAAAGUAAGUCUCCUCAACCACCCCCACACCACAGCGCACUCCCAUUCCUUCUGGUUCCUUCUGGUCCACAUGCAGGGUUGUGCUUUCCUACUGUAGACUGUGGUGGGGAGAGGGGUCUUCUCUGGGACCCCUGAUGUUUCCUGCCCUUAGGGCUUCAGAGGAGGGAGCUUCUGCUACCCUCUGAGAUCACCGGAGGAAGUUUUUCUUUGUCUUUCUGCUGUGUGUAUGUGUGUGUGUGUGUGUUCUUGUGGUUUUCUUUUUGAUGAGUGUGGAGGGAAGUGAACCCUGCUCCUUCAGGAGAUUGGAGGUGGGAGAUGACAGGCAGGUGGCCCUAGUGUAAGCAGAAGUUGGCUCCAAAUCCCCAGUGCCCUGCCCCCAACACUGACCUCUUUUCUUCUACCCACGCCCCCCCCCCUCCAGCUCCACGCCGGAAUCUGAGUCCAGCCAGAAGGGUGUGAACUCAAACGCUGCUCCAAAGCAUCCUAGCGGCGUGACCUUGGACAGCGACCUGACCUCGGUGGGCCUCGGGCUUCGCAUCUCCGCCGUGAGGCUUAAUUGUGCGCGAGCUCGGAGCUGUCGCUCGGCCCUGAGCCCGCCCCGGAGACAAGCUUCCCGAAAGGUGGCUGUCGGCCUUACCGGGGCGGGGAGGGGGCGCGGCGGGGGUCCCCCGGGGGUCCGGCGCGGCGCGGCGCGGGCGGUGGGAU
rnacentral:lncRNA from 1 species